GACGAACGCUGGCGGCGUGCUUAACACAUGCAAGUCGAACGGUAAGACCCUUCGGGGUACACGAGUGGCGUACGGGUGAGUAACACGUGGGUGAUCUGCCCUGCACUUCGGGAUAAGCCUGGGAAACUGGGUCUAAUACCGGAUAGGACCACUGCCUGCAUGGGUGGUGGUGGAAAGCUUUUGCGGUGUGGGAUGGGGCCGCGGCCUAUCAGCUUGUUGGUGGGGUGAUGGGCUACCAAGGCGACGCCGGGUAGCCGGCCUGAGCGGGUGACCGGCCACACUGGGACUGAGAUACGGCCCAGACUCCUACGGGAGGCAGCAGUGGGGAAUAUUGCACAAUGGGCGCAAGCCUGAUGCAGCGACGCCGCGUGAGGGAUGACGGCCUUCGGGUUGUAAACCUCUUUCAGCACCGACGAAGCGCAAGUGACGGUAGGUGCAGAAGAAGGACCGGCCAACUACGUGCCAGCCGCCGCAGUAA
rnacentral:rRNA from 1 species